rnacentral:rRNA from 1 species
GAUGAACGCUGGCGGCGUGCCUAAUACAUGCAAGUCGAGCGAACAGACGAGGAGCUUGCUCCUCUGACGUUAGCGGCGGACGGGUGAGUAACACGUGGAUAACCUACCUAUAAGACUGGGAUAACUUCGGGAAGCCGGAGCUGAUACCGGAUAAUAUAUUGAACCGCAUGGUUCAAUAGUGAAAGACGGUUUUGCUGUCACUUAUAGAUGGAUCCGCGCCGCAUUAGCUAGUUGGUAAGGUAACGGCUUACCAAGGCAACGAUGCGUAGCCGACCUGAGAGGGUGAUCGGCCACACUGGAACUGAGACACGGUCCAGACUCCUACGGGAGGCAGCAGUAGGGAAUCUUCCGCAAUGGGCGAAAGCCUGACGGAGCAACGCCGCGUGAGUGAUGAAGGUCUUCGGAUCGUAAAACUCUGUUAUUAGGGAAGAACAAAUGUGUAAGUAACUAUGCACGUCUUGACGGUACCUAAUCAGAAAGCCACGGCUAACUACGUG